GACGAACGCUGGCGGCGUGCUUAACACAUGCAAGUCGAACGGAAAGGCCCUGCUUUUGUGGGGUGCUCGAGUGGCGAACGGGUGAGUAACACGUGAGUAACCUGCCCUUGACUUUGGGAUAACUUCAGGAAACUGGGGCUAAUACCGGAUAGGAGCUCCUGCUGCAUGGUGGGGGUUGGAAAGUUUCGGCGGUUGGGGAUGGACUCGCGGCUUAUCAGCUUGUUGGUGGGGUAGUGGCUUACCAAGGCUUUGACGGGUAGCCGGCCUGAGAGGGUGACCGGCCACAUUGGGACUGAGAUACGGCCCAGACUCCUACGGGAGGCAGCAGUGGGGAAGAUAGCACAAUGGGCGGAAGCCUGAUGCAGCAACGCCGCGUGCGGGAUGACGGCCUUCGGGUUGUAAACCGCUUUCGCCUGUGACGAAGCGUGAGUGACGGUAAUGGGUAAAGAAGCACCGGCUAACUACGUG
rnacentral:rRNA from 1 species